rnacentral:lncRNA from 1 species
CAAAAUACUCUAGCACAUAGUUAAUUAUAGCACGAUGGUUGUCUAGCCACUUACCGUCUUUUUCAUAAAAAAAUUUAUAUGAUUUUGUCUCAUUCUAUUGGUGGCACUAAUUUGGAAGAAUUUCGUAUUUGCAUCUCCCUCAUUUAACCAAUUGACCCUAGCCCUAAGUUUCCAAUAAUCUUCUUCAAGUUUGAGGAUAUUAUUAUACUUAGUUACUAGAGAAUGUUCCAAAUUAUUAAGGAAAGCAUUAGUGCCAUAGUUAGGAGAGUUUUGAAUACCAUUAAUCCUUGCUAGAAUAGACCUUUUUUCCUUAAAAAAACUACCAAAUUGGUCUUGACCCCAAUUACUUAUAUACUCGGUGAAGGAAUUAAUAGCAGGUAGUAGUUCCUUAUUCCUCCAUUCAUCCUUGACUAUGUUAAGAAAAUUUGGGUGAUUGCACCAAAUAUUUUCUAAACGAAAUAUGCUCCCAGAACUGUGAUUAAUAUUGUUAAGCUUAACUAGAAUAGGUUUAUGGCCGGAAUGGGUUUUUGGGAGAUGGAUAAUGCUAGACUUAGGAAAUUUUUCCAACCAUUCCUCAUAGCUAGAAUAUGAUCAAGUCUUUCCAUAAUUAGGCUCUUUUUUUCCUAUGGUGAGACCAAGUAAAUUUGCUACCCUUAAAACCUAGGUCUAUUAAAAUGCACAAGUCAAUAUUAUUGCUAAUGGUUAAGGCUCUCUUAGAUUUUGAGGGAAGGCCUCCAAUUUUUUCGUUAGAGCUUAUAACGUCAUUAAAAUCACCACCUAUCAUCCAAGGGCCACUAUUAUUCUUAUACAUUUGGAGGAGAUUCUCCCACAUAAUAUCCCUAAUGGAAGACUGUGUGCUAGCAUAUACUGAUGAAAAAAGCCAAGAAAAAUUAAAAAGACGAACCUGAAGGAGAGCGUGAAUCUUUUGUCCAGUACAAGUGAAGUGUUCCACUGUAAUGACAUCGUGAUUAUAGAGUACAGCCAUGCCCCCCGAUUGUACCUCUGUAGGGACUUCUAUGAGCUCGAAGAAAUUAAAUUCCUCUAAGAGUGAAGCGUACAUAUGCAUUCUUGUCUCAAGAAAGGCAACCAAACACGGUCUAUGGGUAUCGAGGAGCUCUCUAAAGCUUCUACGAAAAUCAUCAUUGUUUGCACCCCUAACGUUUUGGAAAAUAAUUGUAGUUGCUCUAUUCAUUCGGGGAAGUAGAGGAUGUGAGACUGUGUUGUCCCUCUCCACUAAAGUAUGACUCCUUCUCCUUGAGUGUGUUCCUACGGUGGGAUCUUGAGGAGGGCGUACAUGCAUUGAGCAUUUGUACAUGGUGCUCGGGCAGCUGAAGAUGUAUUUCUUGCUCCAUAAUUCCGGGAAGAGUAGGAUUUUUACCUCGUUUAGGCUUAAGAACUCUACACUCAGCUGAGUACCUUGUGGAUGUGGUUCUUCUUCUUCCUCUACUGGAGGUUUUGGAGGGUUUGGUUCUGGAGCAUUGACUUGCACAUUGAGUUGGGGUGGAUUGACCGGGGUUAGAUUUGCUGGAUUGAGGGAUUCCUGGGUUACUUGGUUGUUCCAGGCCAUAAAGAUGGGAUUAAUUGAAAUGCUCUCCUCCGAUUGAAAGAAUGGAAUAGUCUGGGGGAGAUUGAUGAACUGGUUGGGUAUUGGGGUAAUAUUCCACUGGGGUUGUAUUUCCUGAAUUAGGGUGUGACUCAAGUGAGGGGCUAAGGGGUGGAGGAUGUUGUUUAUCCAAAUCUGGUUCGUGUAGUUUGACAUGGCUAGUUCUAUACCCUCCGCUAUUAGUUGUGCCAAGAAACCUGGAGUUUUGGAUGAUAGUCACCAUUUCCUGGCCAUUGAUCUGGAUGUUGAAGGUUAUCGCAUGCCCCAGGAGGCCUACUUCCAUCCAAGACUACAUGCCCUCCGCUAUCAAUUGUGCCAAGUACCUGGAGUUUUGGAUGAUAAUCACCAUCUCCUAGCCAUUGAUCUGGAUGUUGAAUGUUAUCGCAUGUCCCAGGAGGCCUGCUUCCAGCAAAGAGGUGGGUUGAUAGUACUGGGGUGGUGGUGGUAAUGUGAAGAAGAGGGGUUGUGUUUGGAGUUGAUUGGGAAGUGGAGGUGGAUUUGCCAUGUGAGUGAUCCUGCUUGGACUGGGAAUAUGUAUUAAUAUGAAACUCUUUAUUGAUGUUAGGGGGAGCCUUGGCAUUAUUUAUAGUAGAGGAAGAUAGAGUAUGAGAAGAAACAAUCGUACGGUUUGGGGGGAGGCUAGAUUGCUCUGAAUUGGAAUAAUCUUGCAUGGAGACUGACGUGUUACUUUUUAUAAAAUAUUUUGGAGAGAUAGGUGGGGAAGCCAGGUGGUCAGUGGAGGAUGCUACUCCCUUUGCAUGCAAUGCCAAGUGUAAGUGAUCAAAAUUAGGGGUAGCCUCCGAUGGAGGAGUGGUGAGUCAUUGGAAGGU